UACCGAGUGCGGGCCCUCUGGGUCCAACCUCCCAUCCGUGUCUAUCUGUACCCUGUUGCUUCGGCGUGGCCACGGCCCGCCGGAGACUAACAUUUGAACGCUGUCUGAAGUUUGCAGUCUGAGUUUUUAGUUAAACAAUCGUUAAAACUUUCAACAACGGAUCUCUUGGUUCCGGCAUCGAUGAAGAACGCAGCGAAAUGCGAUAAUUAAUGUGAAUUGCAGAAUUCAGUGAAUCAUCGAGUCUUUGAACGCACAUUGCGCCCCCUGGUAUUCCGGGGGGCAUGCCUGUCCGAGCGUCAUUGCUGCCCUCAAGCACGGCUUGUGUGUUGGGCUUCCGUCCCUGGCAACGGGGACGGGCCCAAAAGGCAGUGGCGGCACCAUGUCUGGUCCUCGAGCGUAUGGGGCUUUGUCACCCGCUCCCGUAGGUCCAGCUGGCAGCUAGCCUCGCAACCAAUCUUUUUAACCAGGUUGACCUCGGAUCAGGUAGGGAUACCCGCUGAACUUAAGCAUAUCA
rnacentral:misc_RNA from 1 species